rnacentral:lncRNA from 1 species
UCCACCAUCCAUGUGAGUUGACACACUUACAUUAGUGGUGAGGUGCAAUGCGCAGAGAGCCUUUCCGUUUAUUUUAUUUGUUUAAAUGAACAGUUGCCAAGCAACUUCACUUCACCACACAAACAUUAUUUAACAAGUUUGGACCCAUUGCAUUGGGUCUUUAAAUAAUAUAUUUAAGAAAGCCCAAGUCUAAAACAAUCUUUUAUGAUAUCUACAAAGCUUUCUAUCUACACCUCAUUACCCACAAAACUUCUCAACUCAUGACAAGGAGCUU